rnacentral:misc_RNA from 1 species
GAUGAAGAACGUAGCGAAAUGCGAUAAGUAGUGUGAAUUGCAGAAUUCAGUGAAUCAUCGAAUCUUUGAACGCACAUUGCGCCCCUCGGUAUUCCGUGGGGCAUGCCUGUUCGAGCGUCAUUUAACCCCUCAGGCCUAGCUUGGUAUUGGGUGCUUGUCCCGCCUCUCGCGCGGCGACUCACCUCAAAGUCAUUGGCAGCCCGCAUCUCGCCGGCCGUGAGCGCAGCACAGACGCGCUCUUGGCAACGACGGAUCGGCUCUCCAAAAGCUUAUUUCAACCACUGACCUCGGAUCAGGUAGGGAUACCCGCUGAACUUAAGCAUAUCAAUAACGGAGGA